rnacentral:ncRNA from 1 species
CAUAAAUUUUAUUUUAGUUUAAAAGUUAGUAACUGUAUUAGAUGUAUAUGAAGUUAAAAUUUAAAAAAUAUUAUAAAAGUUUAACAUCUAAAAUUUUGAAACUAGUGUAAUCUAAUAAAAGAAUUUAUUUUAAUACCAACUAAUUAGGUGCCAGCAGUUGCGGUUAAACCUAAAGUCAACUAACUACACCGUCUAUAUAAAUUAUAUAAAUUAAGAAAGAUAUAUAAAAAUGAAUUUUAAGUAAGUAAAAUUUUUAAAAUUUCAAAAGCUCUUAAUAAUAAAGAUUUAAAUUUCUGUAAAAAACUAGGAUUAGAUACCCUACUAUUUAGAAAAGAUGAUAAUUAAGGUAGUAAAAGAUAGUCUUCAAACUUAAAAAAUUUGGCGGUAGCUUAAUCUAACUAGAGGAAUCUGCCCUAUAAUUGACAAUCCACAAUCUGUUAAAUUUUAAAUAUAUAUAUAUUUAUAUAUCGCUGUUAAAUAUAAAUUAAAAAGUAGUUAUUUAAAAUUUGUUUAAACUCAAAAAAUCAAGUCAACACAUAAUUAUUAGAAAAUGAGGUGGAUUACAUUUAAAUUAAUUUAAUGAUAAACUAGAUAAUAAAAGCUUGAAAAGGAUUUAGAAGUAAAUUUAACCAGGCUGUUUAUUUGAAUUUGUUAUAGGCUAUGUACAAAUCGCCCGUCAUUCUUAUAUAAAUUAAGACAAGUCGUAACAAAGUAAGAUUACUGGAAAGUAAUAUUAGAUUAA